ACAAUGAUACUCCUGUACGCAGCUUCGAGAGAACCUCGGAGGGGUGAAACUCCCGUGA
rfam:Intestinimonas butyriciproducens strain AF211, complete genome.